ensembl:lncRNA
UCCCUCAGUGGUCGCCAUGGUUACCUCCUGACCUGUUGGGGCUGUGUUGGGUCGUCGAAGAGCUGGGUUAUAGCUUGUUAUGCUAACAGCCACAACAACGAACCAACAACUGCCUGCCUUCCUGUCCCUGUGGUGAGGGCUUUUACUAAACGGUCAAGCUUGGCUUCUGGACCCCCUUGUCUUCAUCUCCUUUGCUGCCCACGGACCUCUGUGGCUGAGCGGUCGGUUGCUUUCAGUCAGACUGAGAGGAGGAGGCAUGUUGGGUGGCUGUCUCUGCAUAACUCCCAUAACCGCCAUAUCGGACUGUGCUUCUCAGUUUCAUGAACUAUGUAUUUGUCAACCAUGAAGGCCUUUCAGUGCACAGCCCUUCUCCUGCACCAUAUCCGCUCUCAGCGACAGUAAGGGGGUACUCCGCUGGAGACGCUAGUCUAUAUUCAUCAAGGCUCUGGUCGCUCUCUCAUCAUCCAGCAGGCUACAGACUACACUGAGGUACACACCGACGCUGACAUCGAUAUCGCCUCUACAUGAUGCUUGUCUACGGCUGCUGACAGCACAGCAUGGCUUCCCAGAACAGUCUCCUCUCAGCCUCCCCUUAUGUGCUAUAUAGAGCUGGGGAACAUAGAACCCUGAGAACAUCAGACCCUGGGAGAGCACGUAUGUAGAACUGGGGGACAUAGAACCCUGAGAACAUCAGACCCUGGGAGAGCACGUAUGUAGAACUGGGGGACAUAGAACCCUGAGAACAUCAGACCCUGGGAGAGCACGUAUGUAGAACUGGGGAACAUAGAACCCUGAGAACAUCAGACCCUGGGAGAGCACGUAUGUAGAACUGGGGAACAUAGAACCCUGAGAACAUCAGACCCUGGGAGAGCACGUAUGUAGAACUGGGGGACAUAGAACCCUGAGAACAUCAGACCCUGGGAGAGCACGUAUGUAGAACUGGGGAACAUAGAACCCUGAGAACAUCAGACCCUGGGAGAGCACGUAUGUAGAACUGGGGGACAUAGAACCCUGAGAACAUCAGACCCUGGGAGAGCACGUAUGUAGAACUGGGGGACAUAGGAGGGCAGGCAGGUAGUCAGGUAGGUAGACAUGUAGGUAGACAGGUAGGUAGACAGGCAGGUAGGUAGACAGGCAGGUAGGUAG